rnacentral:rRNA from 1 species
UACGGAGGGUGCAAGCGUUAUCCGGAAUUACUGGGUUUAAAGGGUGCGUAGGCGGCUUCAUCAGUCAGGGCUGAAAGCCUAUCGCUUAACGAUAGAAUUGCCUUUGAUACUGUAAAGCUUGAAAGGGGUUGAGGUCAGCAGAAUGUGGCAUGUAGCGGUGAAAUGCAUAGAUAUGCCAUAGAUCAUCGAUUGCGAAGGCAGCUGGCUGGGCCUACUUUGACGCUGAGGCACGAAAGCGUGGGGAGCGAACAGG